rnacentral:rRNA from 1 species
ACUCCUACGGGAGGCAGCAAUUAGGAAUCUUGCACAAUGGGGGAAACCCUGAUGCAGCGACGCCGCGUGGAGGAGGAAGUCCUUCGGGAUGUAAACUCCUUUUCUGGGGGAAGAAACAAAUGACGGUACCCCAGGAAUAAGCUCCGGCUAACUACGUGCCAGCAGCCGCGGUAAUACGUAGGGAGCGAGCGUUGUCCGAAGUUACUGGGCGUAAAGCGCGCGUAGGCGGGUUAUUAAGUGAGAGGUGAAAUUCCAGGGCUCAACCCGGGGACUGCCUCUCAUACUGAUAGUCUUGAGUGAGGUAGAGAGAAGUGGAAUGGCUGGUGUAGCGGUGAAAUGCGUAGAUAUCAGUCGGAACACCGGUGGCGAAGGCGGCUUCUUGGGCCUUUACUGACGCUGAUGCGCGAAAGCCAGGGUAGCGAACGGGAUUAGAUACCCUGGUAGUCCACGCCGUAAACGAUGAGUGCUAGACGCUGGUAGGUUUACCUAUCGGUGUCGCAGCUAACGCAUUAAGCACUCCGCCUGGGGAGUACGGUCGCAAGAUUAAAACUUAAAGGAAUUGACG